rnacentral:snRNA from 1 species
UUGUGGAGUGUCCCAGUG